rnacentral:lncRNA from 1 species
AAGACGCUGGAUGGUUCUUCUGAAGGAUUAUGAUUGCCAGAUUAUUUAUCACACCGAGAGAGAACAUAGUUGCUGAUACUCUAAGUCGAAGGGAGUCUACUGUAUUGGCCCAAACCAUGACCUCCAGUUGGAAGAUGAUAAACACUGUACAAUCACUCCACCUUAGCUAUUAUGGCAAAGAUACCUAUCUUGACUAGAUUCGAGCCCU